rnacentral:rRNA from 1 species
AUUGAACGCUGGCGGCAUGCUUUACACAUGCAAGUCGAGCGGUAACAGGCCUUCGGGUGCUGACGAGUGGCGAACGGGUGAGUAAUGCAUCGGAACGUACCUAGAGGUGGGGGAUAACGCAGCGAAAGCUGUGCUAAUACCGCAUGUGAUCUGAGGAUGAAAGCGGGGGACCGAGCAGCAAUGUUUGGCCUCGCGCCUUUGGAGCGGCCGAUGUCGGAUUAGCUAGUUGGUGGGGUAAAGGCCUACCAAGGCGACGAUCCGUAGCUGGUCUGAGAGGACGACCAGCCACACUGGGACUGAGACACGGCCCAGACUCCUACGGGAGGCAGCAGUGGGGAAUUUUGGACAAUGGGCGCAAGCCUGAUCCAGCAAUGCCGCGUGCGGGAAGAAGGCCUUCGGGUUGUAAACCGCUUUUGGCAGGAACGAAACGGUGUCCGCUAAUACCGGGCGCUAAUGACGGUACCUGCAGAAUAAGCACCGGCUAACUACGUG